UACGGGGGGGGCAAGCGUUGUUCGGAAUUACUGGGCGUAAAGGGCUCGUAGGUGGCCAACUAAGUCGGACGUGAAAUCCCUCGGCUUAACCGGGGAACUGCGUCCGAUACUGGUUGGCUUGAGUUUGGGAGAGGGAUGCGGAAUUCCAGGUGUAGCGGUGAAAUGCGUAGAUAUCUGGAGGAACACCGGUGGCGAAGGCGGCAUCCUGGACCGGUAUUGACGCUGAGGCGCGAAAGCCAGGGGAGCAAACGGG
rnacentral:rRNA from 1 species